rnacentral:lncRNA from 1 species
AUGUCGACACGCGCUUAUUCAUUAAUUAUUCAGCUUGCACUCCGGCUGAUGAAAAACGCUGGGUUUUGCAGACUCUACUAUUCCCCGUGCUGUACUGCAACUACUACCUACCUCGCAUUAGAGCGGGCCGCUGGGCACCGUACUGACAGCCGGAGACAGGUUUGCUCAAGGCUGACAGCACAGGCGCGGAGGCCGGAGCCGGAUGACAGACGCGACCGUUCGCUCUGCACUGUCCCGGCGGACACGCAGCCCCGCAGGGCCGGCACCGCUCCCCUCCCCCCUGCCCCGCGGUGCCUCUCGGCCGCUGGUGGGCGCGCAGCCCGCGGGGCACGGCCGCGCUCCUCGCCGCCCGCCUGCGCAGCGCGGCGCUGCCCGCUUCCUGCCCGUCGCCCGCCCAGUAGCCGCCCCGCCACCCGAGCGCUUGUCAUUUGCAUUCUUCCGCCUAUCGGGAGGAGGCGGAAGCCUGUAGCCCCCCCCUGGCGGGGGGGAAGAGACGACGGCCGGCGGCGGCCGGGGCCAUCGAGCCGUCCGCUGGGCUGCCCGCGCGGCGCCGCGCAUCUGCCUCUUCCCGCGCUCCACCUCCGCCGGGGGAGCCGCGGGGGCCGUACGUGCUGGGUCGGCGGCGAGGGGAGGGUCUGCGGCUCGUCGUUGCUGCGCCAAGCGCCGGCCCCGCCGCGCCGCCAGGGACCGGGUGCGGGCGCCGCCGCCACCGGGCUCUGCGCGCUGCUGCUUCGCGGCGAUCGCCGCUGCCGGCGGGAGGGGCAGGGAUGUGAGCGGCCGGGCCGGCUUGGCUCCCCCUCCCUUUUUUAUUUUUUUAUUUUUUUUCCUCAGGAAAAAAAAAAAAAAAAAAAAAAAAAAAGCCAACCACCCAAACCAACCGACCAACCCCAAAAAACCCUGAGGGCGUGGGGGGUGGGGGGAUCCCGUGUCGCCGCCGCCACCCUCCGCUGGAUCUAUUGUCAGGGAAGGAGGAAAUUGCCAUCCGCCGGCAGCGGCGGCACAUCUGGGCGGGCACAUCUGGGCAUGCAACAUCGGCUGCCGGCGCCCGCCUGCUCCGUCCUCCUGCCGGCCGCGCGGAACGCUGCGGGGCGCGGAGAGGCUGCCGCUCGCCCGCCGCCGGGUCCAUAA